ACCGUCUCUUCUGUUCCCCAG
rnacentral:miRNA from 1 species